GGGACAAUUAUUGAAGCUUAUUUGUAAACUUUGAAAGGCAAAUGCCACUACCUAGGAACUGGAGAAGGGAGGAAGGAAGGUUGGCUGACUCACGUACAGGAGCUCAACAGAAGCUUUCCUGAAUGAGUCAACAGCCCUGCCCAAGAAGAGAAGAGAAAUGCUCAGGGAAAGGCAAUUGAGAAGUAGCACCAACUGGAAACGAUGGACUAAAUAAACUCCUGCUCAACUGCAGACCAGCCAUUUACCUCCAGACUUCAAGAGGGAGGUAUUUACCUACUGGCGGCAGUCAACAAGAAGUAGCUCGCGCUGCAACCAGGAACUGGCACGUGUAGGAGUUAAGAAGUAAUAUUCAUAUGAAACUUAAGCAGGCAAAGCAUGUUUUUUUUUCUUCUUUUCCCAUAGCUUCACACAAGCAAGACCACGGCAGAACAAAUGGCAUGUAAGCCCACUGCUGUGUAAGGGCAGUAUACACCCUUCCAGUUGGAAUUUGGUGCUGCAGAAUGGCCAGUUCUCGGGAGAUAACAGCAAAGAAACGGGCUGAUCCUCAGUCAGCCUGGGAAGCCGCAAAGAACUGGGUAACAGUUUAGGAACACGGAGGUCAAAAAGCAGUGCAUUUGCCCUUCCUUGACUUCGGGCUACCAAGACUAGUAACUCCAAGCAAGACAAAAUAAGUCUCUGGGAUCAUGUCAGCAGGGAAGAAUGUGGCUGUGUGUCUGGAACGAAGCUCUGACUGCUCCGGCAGUGCCUGGGCUGGGCUGGACUCCUGCCUUGCCUUUCUUGGUUGUGGACACUCUGCACAGGCAGUAGAAGGCAUGAAAUUCAUCAUCUGAAGAAGCUGCAGUGUUGCUUCUAGCAUGUGGGUAGUGUUUCUGGAUGUUAUCAUGUGCAAAAACAACUCUCACAGUAGAGCUGCAUGUCAGUUUCCUAGUUAUUUUGGUGGCGCAAGAAGAUUGGUCUCCGAAGCCUAUUUGAAAGCCCAUUGGGAACUAUUAGUGUCCUGACUGCACACCUACAAAUGAAAACAAACACUCAGCUGGAAUCAGCAUGCUUAAAAACAUAAUCUGCUUAUUGCUAUUUUUUUUUUCUUGCUUCCCUGAAGAAGGCGUUUUAUUUUCUCCAUGGCAGAAAGCAGGAUGGUGUGGUUCAGUGCCACAGAUGAAAGAUCUGCUCUAUUCAACUAAGAAGCAGCAGGAGAGAAAUUCUUCAUUAAAGUGAUGGUGGCAGUGUUUGAAUGUACCUAAUAAUAAAGAAGUCAUAGAAUGCUUUCUUAA